rnacentral:lncRNA from 1 species
GCUUCCAAAAACCUUCGCACGGCACUGGUUUUACAUGUGCUAUGUAAGGAUGAUCAAUAAAAAAAAUUUAAUAUAGAUGCUCAAUAUAAACUAUUUUCCUAUACAUUUACAAAAUGAAACAAAUAUCCGCACAUUCGUGCGGAUCAAAAUCUAGUUGUUUCUUGUUUUCAAGAACGAGACAUGGAAGGAAUAAACCAAGUGGUCUUGGCCUAGUGGUAAAGGGAUUCCAAUUGGAGCUUCCGCCCUGGGUUCGAUUCCCCUUGGCCACCCAUAGAUGCCUUAAGUGGCAAGAAAACCCGGAUUUCUGUGGGCCUCUUGGUGAUUAGUCCUUGGGCCUAGAAAACCUUUGGGAUCACACCAAGGUUAUCAAAAAAAAAAAAAAAAAAGACAUGGAAGGAAUGUAAGACCCGAUCCCGGCCGGCUAGGCCGCGGUCGAUGCCUCACGUCGCUCAGUCCAUACCCAGACCGAACCUCUAAAAAUUUUGCCCUUUAUUUAAAAUAUCGCCCAUUGGCGAGGGCUAACUCAGAUCCUAACUCAAGACUACCUUAGUUAUUCCCUAGCUAGAUCCUUUCAACUUAUGCACAGCGGAAUAGUGUCUACUUAACCAUUGGUCUAUAACCAAUAUAAUACUUGUCUGGUCGAAUCACCUCGGCUAAUGGUUAGUAUACUCAACUACCAGCUAGCUCCAAGGUCAAUCCCGAACCCAAAUCAAGACAUACAAAUCUGAGGUUCCAUUCCCCUAACCAUUCUAUCUAGAUCUAUGCAACAUUGCUAGAUCAUACCUUUGCCACAUCCACGGAGCUUGUUAGCUCAUCGGCCCAGCUACUCUAGCUGAAUGAACUCAUAAACCAGCUGAUCGAGCUGUCACACUCGAACUGAGCUAGAACCGAGCUAUGGCCAGCUGCCAUAUACUGCGUCCAGCUCCUUUACACACACAAAACAACUCCCUUAGGUACUUAGUCAUUCAGCCAACCAUCCCCACAGACAUAAGUAACCCUUAUUUCCAUCGUAUCUUGGUUAAGUCUCAGCUGACUGAUGCCCUUAACCUUCAUUCAGGACCAUGACACGCUUGUCCUUAGGUCAUGUGACCUGACUGGUGCGUUUCCUUGCACCGCAGUCCGUCCGGACGAUCCUAUCCGGGGACAUGACAAGUCUCCCCCACUUACGAAGGAUUCGUCCUCGAAUCCAGUGGUGUUAACCUCUUGUCUCAUGACCAAGGUUCCAUCCGACUUUUUUUGUACCCAGAACAUGGAGCAUGCUCGAUUGGUUCUUUCUAACCAGUUCGUUGCAUCUCCCACCUUGUUCUUUCUCACUGACCAUCUCUUGGUCAUCAUAUACACAACAAGUCUUCCCCACUUGAUAGAUUUUUAACCCAAAAUCUUAUCAAGUGGUCCAUCAAGCACCCAUACAAAGACAUGACUUGUGUCACUGACCCAACUCUCCAGGUUGCGUUCCUAGUAGACACCAAGUCCAUGUAGAACACUUUAGUUCCAUGACUAGAUCAAAUUCAGUACCUAGGAACAUACUGAGUACUCAAGUCUUAGUAGAUUCAACCAAUCUCCAAGCCACUCGAUGCACCAGCCAAGUCCUAGUGAACAUGUUCCAAUCUUUAGGCUGCUCACUCUACCAUGAGUCCUAACAGAUUGUUCUGUUCCCUUAAGUCCUUCCUGGACAAUAAGGUUUAUGAUUCCAGCAAUUCAUCAAUCCUGGGUAAAGGGUACUUGUUCUUCCCAGUCACCCUGUUCAAACCCCUAUAAUCAAUGCACAACCUAAAGCUACCAUCCUUUUUUCUUAACAAAUAGGACUGGUGCUCCCCAAGGUGAUACACUAGGGUGUAUGAACCCCUUCUCAAGCAACUCCUCAAGUUGCUUCUUCAGCUCUUCCAUCUGAGCUGGUGCCAUUCUAUAUGGACUUUUAGAUAAUGGGGCCGUUCCAGGUUCCAAUUCAAUGAUGAAUGGGUCAGCCCUAUCAGGGGGAAUGCCCUGUAGUGCCCCAAACACAUCCUGAAAUUCCCGAACCAACGGUAUACCCUCUGGGUCACAGGCCCCUACAACCUCAUCGGUGUAAAUGGUAGCCAAAAAGGCCUCACAACCAUUUCCAAGCAUCCGUUCUACUUGGACUGCUGAAACCACCAACUACAAGAGGUUGGCUUGAUUCCUUGGUACUUAAUCGGGGUCCAAACUCGUUCUCAAGUUGCACCCUUCCCCGGUGACAAUCUAGAGUUGCCCGAUACUUUCCCAACCAGUACAUGCCCAAGAUCACUUCAUGAUGCUUGAGGGGGACAACAAUCAGAUCUAUAGGCAUCAGCCUAUCCAAGAUCACCACAGGGAUGUCCUUAACCAGACCGAGUGAGUUCAUAACUUGCCCUUCGGCCGCACUCACUCGUUCAGGACCAUCCCAUGUUCCAUACUGGAACAAACCUUUUCCAACCAUUCCUGGACUCACAGCACUAUGUGUAGCUCCAGUAUCAAAUAAUGUGUUUCCACACCACCGAUCAUUAAGAACUUAGAUGAGUAGGAUUUCGGUUUGAUCACACAUUUGGAAAAUGUCCCAUACUAUUCUCCAAAGCAUCACACAUCUGUGAACGUCCCAUACCAUUCACAAAAGUGUUUAUAGUAUACCUCAAUCCUCAUCAUACUAAGAUACUUAACAUCGUGUUUCCAAUUCCUCUUGGAAUUGAUCCAUUUCAUUCACUCAAUCUUAAGGAAUUCUACCUUGACUUACACUGAGUCCAAGCUGAUCCAUCUUAUCACAAGCCCACUCAUGUACUAGCCAUGUAGUGUCUCCCUUAGACUAACAUGAACAUUGCAUAUGCUCACUUGUUUUGAACGGCCAUCAAGGGAUAACAUUUACCUCCAAGAGAGUGCUGCACGUUUCUUUCAACCUAAGCCACUCUCUGGUCCAUGUUACUUCCCUUGUCCAGGUCGUCCAUACAAAGAUCUUGCAUUGCGUCCAUCAUCCAAUCCGUCUAUUAUUCCCAAAUAACUAGAUAAACUAACCUUUAUGUUUUCAGGGUCUUGCCGUGGAAGAGUGUAUCGUGGCUAAGCCGGCUCAUCUUGGAACUUCCCCGUUCACAAGCAUGAAACCCAAACUUAUCUCAACUCUCACUUGGCUCACCACAACUAAGGUUCCAAGUCAUCUCAGUUUUCAGAAAUAAUUUCGGUUUGGAACUUAACAUAUUUGAGCACUGUCCUCAACAGGAUCAAGCAUGCUCUGAUACCAACUUGUAAGACCCGAUCCCGGCCGACUAGGCCGCGGUCGAUGCCUCACGUCGCUCAGUCCAUACCCAGACCGAACCUCUAAAAAUUUUGCCCUUUAUUUAAAAUAUCGCCCAUUGGCGAGGGCUAACUCAGAUCCUAGCUCAAGACUACCUUAGUCAUUCCCUAGCUAGAUCCUUUCAACUUAUGCACAGCGGAAUAGUGUCUACUUAACCAUUGGUCUAUAACCAAUAUAAUACUUGUCUGGUCGAAUCACCUCGGCUAAUGGUUAGUAUACUCAACUACCAGCUAGCUCCAAGGUCAAUCCCGAACCCAAAUCAAGACAUACAAAUCUGAGGUUCCAUUCCCC